rnacentral:rRNA from 1 species
UACGUAUGGUGCGAACGUUGUUCGGAAUCACUGGGCAUAAAGAGCACGUAGGCGGUUGAGCAAGUCCAUUGUGAAAUCCCCCGGCCUAACCGGGGAACUGCGUUGGAUACUACUUGACUUGAGUGCAGGAGGGGAGAGUGGAAUUCCUGGUGUAGCGGUGAAAUGCGCAGAUAUCAGGAAGAACACCCGUGGCGAAAGCGGCUCUCUGGAACGGUACUGACACUGAGGAGCGAAAGCGUGGGGAGCGAACAGG